rnacentral:sRNA from 1 species
AUCCCUCGGUGGUAUAAUGGAUAGUACGUC